AUACGUAGGUGGCGAGCGUUAUCCGGAAUUACUGGGUGUAAAGGGUGUAUAGGCGGGAUUGGAAGGCAGGCGUGAAAUGGGAAGGCUCAACCCUCCAGCUGCGCUUGAAACUGUUAUUCUUGAGAGUGGGAGAGGGAAACGGAAUUCCUGGUGUAGUUGUGAAAUGCGUAGGCAUCAGGAGGAACACCGGUGGCGAAGGCGGGUUACUGGACCACAACUGACGCUGAGACACGAAAGCGUGGGGAGCAAACAGGAUUAGAUACCCGGGUAGUCCACGCUGUAAACGAUGAAUACUAGGUGUAGGGUCCGCAGGGAUUCUGUGCCGGAGUUAACACAAUAAGUAUUCCACCUGGGGAGUACGGCCGCAAGGUUGAAACUCAAAUGAAUUGGCGGGG
rnacentral:rRNA from 1 species